rnacentral:rRNA from 1 species
AGAAUCAACGCUGGCGGCGUGCCUAACACAUGCAAGUCGAACGAGAAAGGGGUAGCAAUACCCUGAGUAAAGUGGCGCACGGGUGAGUAACACGUGACUAACCUACCCUUGAGUGGGGGAUAACUGAGGGAAACCUUAGCUAAUACCGCAUAAUACCCACGGGUCAAAGGAGCAAUUCGCUCGAGGAGGGGGUCGCGGCCGAUUAGUUAGUUGGCGGGGUAAUGGCCCACCAAGACGAUGAUCGGUA